rnacentral:rRNA from 1 species
CCUACGGGGGGCAGCAGUGGGGAAUCUUGCACAAUGGGCGAAAGCCUGAUGCAGCGACGCCGCGUGCGGGAUGAAGGCCUUCGGGUUGUAAACCGCUUUCAGCAGGGACGAGGCGAAAGUGACGGUACCUGCAGAAGAAGCCCCGGCUAACUACGUGCCAGCAGCCGCGGUAAUACGUAGGGGGCAAGCGUUAUCCGGAUUCAUUGGGCGUAAAGCGCUCGUAGGCGGUCUGUUAGGUCGGGAGUUAAAUCCGGGGGCUCAACCCCCGUUCGCUCCCGAUACCGGCAGACUUGAGUUUGGUAGGGGAAGGUGGAAUUCCUAGUGUAGCGGUGGAAUGCGCAGAUAUUAGGAAGAACACCAGUGGCGAAGGCGGCCUUCUGGGCCAUAACUGACGCUGAGGAGCGAAAGCUAGGGGAGCAAACAGGAUUAGAUACCCUGGUAGUC